UCCCCGUUACCGGGGCAGUCUGAAUAGAAAAAUACAACUAUUCAUAAGGGUUGCGCUCGUUGAUGGACUUAACCAAACAUCUCACGACACGAGCUGACGACGGCCAUGCAGCACCUGUCACUGCGUUCCUUGCGGCACAGUUUCCUUUCGGAAGCCUUCACAGGAUGUCAAGCCCUGGUAAGGUUCUUCGCUUACCAUCGAAUUAAACAACACGCUCCACCGCUUGUGCGGGUCCCCGUCAAUUCCUUUAUGUUUUAGCCUUGCGGCCGUACUCCACAGGCGGGAUGCUUAACGCGUUAGCUUCGCUACUGGGGGGGUCGAUACCCCCAACAGCUAGCAUCCAUAGUUUACGGCGUGGACUAC
rnacentral:misc_RNA from 1 species